AUUAUUAACUUUUCCUUUUUUGUUCUUCUGUAGGUCUCAUUCCUGUCGGUUAGACUUGUGGUCAUGUUAUUUCCUGAUGGGGUCACGAGGAUGAAUUAGUGAUUAGACACUUAGGUGCUGGACUCAAAGGGACCUGGCUCCAUCACAUGCAAACUUUUUGUAAAAGAAGUUACAGAGGAAACAGAUCAUGAACUGACACAGGGUUGAGGAUGAACAGCACAGGUGUGGGAGGAGGAUGAAGGAAUGUGAAAGGACACUGAUGUGAGAGAUGUUAAAAGCCAUUGACCAUGCAGUCCUGCACGGAAACCCAGAAGAAACAGGAGACAAUGGAAACUCAGCAGCACCCAUACAGACUCAGAGAUGAAGGAUGGGUGUAUUCUUUCUUGUUCUACUGCUAGUUUAAAGAACAGGCGACUUCCCUGCUCAGAUUCCAAAUUCCUUAGGAAAACAAGAAGCGACAACAA